CAGCUGCGCCACCUCGCGCGUGAGGCACGGCCCCUCGGCCUGGCAGCGGUCGGGCGCGUUCAGCUGCUCGUCCCUCAGGCGGUGGACCUCCGUCCACAGCCAGCGGAUGUCCUCCUCCUGCCGCGCCAGGCGCGACGCCACAGCAUCCACCGCCAGGGCCUCGGCCGCCAUGGCGUCCGCCUCGCCUCACACAGGAGUGCAACCAGAUCCUCUCCCGGGAUGGCUCUUUGGAGAGAGUGGACUCUUUUUUCUUGAAGCUGUGCUCCAAAGGGCCAAAGGCUUUCUGUGCUUUUUGCUCUCAUCUGGAGGAAUUCUGCCCUUACCUGCUCACCUGCUUGUUUCUUUACCUUCAAGAGCAGACCCACAGGAUCCUGCAAGAUGUAGCUGCCGCAGAGGAAAAAGCAAGGGUUGGAACUCAGCCCGAACCUAGCAGUGUCCUUGAGACUGAGGAUCGAGAAAGUCUUCAAUUAUUUAACAAGAAGGGGAACCCAAGAGUGGGCUCUUGUCGAACACUCAGAAAUGAAUUGUCCGAGGAGACACACGUGCUGAUAAAGCAGGAGACUUUACUGGGAAGGGGCGCCUGGGCGGAGAGCAGCAGAUAUUGAACCAUCCUUGCCUCCCUGAUAUAAAUCCUAUUUGAUCAUGGUAAACAGAC